rnacentral:rRNA from 1 species
UACGUAGGGGGCAAGCGUUGUCCGGAAUCAUUGGGCGUAAAGCGCGUGUAGGCGGUUCGGUAAGUCUGCUGUGAAAGUCCAGGGCUCAACCCUGGGAUGCCGGUGGAUACUGUCGGACUAGAGUCCGGAAGAGGAGAGUGGAAUUCCUGGUGUAGCGGUGGAAUGCGCAGAUAUCAGGAGGAACACCAAUGGCGAAGGCAGCUCGCUGGGACGGUACUGACGCUGAGACGCGAAAGCGUGGGAGCAAACAGG